GUGCUCACUUCAACAGCACAUAUACUAAAACUGAACAAUAGAGAAGAUUUGCAUAGUCUCUGCUCAAGGAUUACACUCAAAUUUGUGAAGCCUUCCAUAUUAAA
ensembl:snRNA U6 U6 spliceosomal RNA